GAAUGUAUAGCUCAGUGGUAGAGUGCAUGCUAGCAAGUUCCAGGUCCUGGGUUCAAACCCCAGUACCUCUA
rnacentral:tRNA from 1 species